AAUCUUAUAGUAUAUAAAUAACGUUAAAUUGCAAAUUUAAAGAUGUGUAAAUCACUAGGAUUU
rnacentral:tRNA from 1 species